UACGUAGGAGACUAGCGUUGUCCGGAAUUACUGGGCGUAAAGCGCGUGUAGGCGGCAUACCAAGUCUGUUGUGAAAUCGCCCGGCUCAACUGGGCGGGGUCAAUGGAAACUGGUAAGCUGGAGGACGGUAGAGGCGAGUGGAAUUCCCGGUGUAGUGGUGAAAUGCGUAGAGAUCGGGAGGAACACCUGUGGCGAAGGCGGCUCGCUGGGCCGAUCCUGACGCUGAGACGCGAAGGCGUGGGGAGCGAACGGG
rnacentral:rRNA from 1 species